GGGACCAAUUAAGCUAAAUAUGUUUUGGUUUUAGGGGCUAAUUAGAUUUGUAAUGAGUCAAACAAUGAUUUAUUAUUGUAGACUUUUUUUGUGGUGGUAUGGUUAUUUAUUUUGUAUCCCAUGGUGGUAAGGAUAGCAGAUUGCAACCUUUUUCACUAUAAAGGUUAAAGGAGUUCUCCAGGUACCAACUUAGAGAAGGUGUUGUCUUACCUAGAGGUCCUGGGCGACAUUUUAUGAAUGGCUUAACCUUAA